rnacentral:lncRNA from 1 species
GCGCCUUCGCGGCGGGCGAUGUUAGUGGGCUUGGGCGUUGGGUGAAGUAUCCAGGUUGGGCGCUUCCAGCGCUUUCUGUGGCGGGGGAAUGAAGGCCUAGGUCAGGGAAUAGGAAGGUGUAUCGCCGCCAGAGUGCGGAACACCCUCGCCUUGAGGGUUCCCACAGUGACUUGCAAAAGUCUAGUGAGACCCGAGAAUGCUGAGGCGGGACACGAAGCAUGUGGUUCUUGUGGUUGCGACGCUCGUGCCGCCAUCUUGGGUGCUGGCGGCGGAAACCGGUACCCCAACUUCCCCUCGGUGCGAACCUGGAGAAGCCACCCCAGCUGUGAGGGACGGUUGCGCCUCAUGGCCCAGGCAAGGGUACCUUCGCUGGAGCAGUACCGCGGACGGAUAUCAUGAGGGUGGUGGGACGUUGGCGGAACGUUGGCGGAACGUUGGCGGUGUGAGAGGUGUGGGGGAAUCAUUGGGUUGGCGUUUGCAAUGCGUUCCUCCCAGCUAUAGGACAAAGAGGUGUCAACUCAACUGUGUCUUCUUAGAAGAGCCCAUUAUUUAUAGGCUGGACUGGAA